UUAAUCAAAAAGCAAAUGCGCUUGUCUCUACGGUCUUUACUGACACAGCAUUCUCACAUAGGAGCCAGACCCACGGCCUGUAGGCUUUUUAUACAAACAACUUACCCUCACAGUCCCGGGCUGGCCCUCAUGCCUACACGCGGCAGCAGCUGCCCCCCCCAUACUCUUAGAACCCCUCAAAAUCACAGGCUCUGCCCCACCUACCCUCUCUAGCUCUCACAGCCUCCAAAGCUGAGUCUCCUCUUCACACCUCCCACGCUUACUUUCAGACCCUCACCUUCUCCAGCUUUAUGCAGUCGCCCCCACUGCUUAAACCACGCCUCAGAAAGUCUCUGCUGCUGUGAUUUUUCGUCUCACUGCUCAAAUUCACUGUACUCAUUUACUUCUACAUGCCCUGCUUUUUUUUAAGUUGCCGGUUUACACUUUUCCUCCAGGAAAUUACAGUUGAUAUUUCACUCUUAAUCUCGCUCCCGUGCUCUGCUCAUUCCCAAUCUUGUGAACAAAAGUGAGUGGUGACUUUAUCACACACUCCUCAUACACCGUGAAAACAACAGCUCUCCCUCCACACAGGCACCCUGCCAAAUCCGCCAUCACCUUUAACAGCCGCAGCCCUUGCUGGCUCCCUUGGCAUUUGGGUCCAAAGCCCCAGCCCCCUCAGAACACUUUCUGACCUUUUCAGUUUACACUUACAGUUCUGACGGGAUGGGGCGGACCCCAUGGGAGACCCUGCAAGUGCAGAGGCAAGGGUCUGAAGCCUCGGCCUGUUCCCAUAUGAAUACAGAACUAGAAAAGAAUUAGAGAUAUAGUUACAUAGUUAUUCCUGUAUAUAAUCAUAAUCACAUGGUUAUUCAUAUGUAAUCACAGAAAUAUGAGUAUGAAUACAGAACUAGCAAAGAAUUAGAUAUAGUUCUUUCCAUAUUUAAUCAAAUAAUCGCAUAGUUAUUCAUAUUUAAUCACAAAUAUACUCAAUAUAACCUUUUAAUUUAACUAAUGACUAUCAGGUUAUGAAGCAUGGAGCUGAGGUGACAUUGUGAACAAAGCGAUCCUAAGGCAAGAUGCUCUAAGCCCUCUGUCAUGCCCGCAUAAGGGCUGCUGGAGGGCACCUCGGCUGUGUGGCAGCGCCAACUCUGGGAAAGUGCCUGCUGUUUAGCUAGCUAGGGAAGGAGACGUCCAAAAUGACCGAGAAGUCUCCUUCCUCGGGGGAGUUAGGAGAAAACUCCGCUCCUCCAAGCUCUUGCGGCGGGCCUGGCGGUUGCCAGGGAAGCCCACACACAUGGGGGGCUUGACGGUAUCUAUGCGGUGCCGGCUUCAGCAGUCACCCUGCGUGUCUACUCUCAUGUUCCGCUUCUGCACCUGGCUCCUCUUUUUCUUAGAAGAUAAAGAGUCAGUAAAAGUAACAUAAACCUUAAUGUCUUUGUUCUUUCUUGACAAAUAUGAGAAAAGUGCUGAUGCAUUAGGUUUUCUAUUCACCUCAGUUACGUGAAAGACCUGGGCCCCUAUCUCCAAGACUCGUGAUGUACCUGAGCCCGUCACUGACCACCAAUGACUCAUCCUGCCUACUCUGCCCCGGCUUUGUACUCAGUAAAAGUCAGGGUGCCCAGGGACUCGGGGCCAGUGCCCGACUCCGAGCUUUUGUUGGCAGUGGACCCCUGGGCCCAAACUCUUCCUCUCGAUCUCUGUGUCCUGUGUCUUCAUUUCCACAGUUUCUCAUCUCCCCGCCAGUGGAGAGGGGCUCACAGGACCCUGUAGGGCUGAAUCCUACAGUUCUGUCUAAGCCAAGGGCCUUUUCUCCUCUGUGGUACUUCUUACCUCUGCCUUCCUACCAACUGGACAGGCACUUGUAUCCUAGUUUCUCUUAUUUCCAAAAUUCAGUUUGCCAACAGGGACAAAAGCCUCCCUGUUCCCCUUGUGGUCCUGACGAGAUCCACGCGGGGAACAGGGACAAAAGCCUCCCUGUUCCCCUUGUGGUCCCGACGAGCCCCACGCGGGUCAUUCCAUCAAUCCCCUUCCUUGCAGGGUUAGGAAUUACUACUGCCCUCGGCACAGGCAUAGCAGGCCUCAGCACUUCAACCAGCACCUUCCGUAGCCUCUGAUGAUUUCUCUGCUGGCAUUGCAGAAUUAACUCAAUCGCUAUUCCUUCUUUAAGCUCAAGUAAAUUCCCUAGCUGUAGUUGUCCUCCAAAACCGCAGAGGUCUUGAUUUACUGACUGCUGAAAAAGGAUGUCUUUGUCUACUCCUAAAUGAAGAUUUUUUUUGUUUAAUGUAAACCAGACUGGCCUCAUAUAUGACGCCAUCAGUAAAUUGAAAGACCCCAAAAGCUUGCCAGUCGGGCAAAUGGUUACUCUGGUCCUAGCUGGACUGGCUGGACACUCUAACUGGGAGUCAACUUCUUACUCCUCUGAUACUAUCUUUUUUCUCUUAUUUGGACCCGUGUUUUCCGAUUAAUCUCUCAGUUCUUACAAAAUCAUAUAUAAGGAAUAACUAAUCAAUCAGUAUGACAAAUGCUCCUUCUAACAACCCAACAAUAUCACCCCUUGCCCUGAGAUCUCCCAGCAGUCUAAAUUCUUUAUUUUUAGGUGUUCACACCACCCCCAAUCCCACUCAAAGAAGCCCUGAGGAGCAUCGCCCCAUCACCCCUCCACGCCGGCCUUCCUAAUAUUCCACUGCCCUCCACUCUUCAUUUCUUUAUCCCUUAUAUUACUCAUAUAAAAAGACAGGAAUGGAAGGUCUGACUUGCACCAUAAACUGCUUGGUAAUCUCUGUGACCUGCGCAGACACUCCAGAUGAGUUCCUGGAAGAAAUGAUCAACCCUUCAGCGCCUAACUAACCUGAAACAUUCUUCUGUUGUUUGGCUAACCUCCUGACUCCACACCCUACGACCCCCUCCCAGCUUGGUCAGCCUCAUGACUCCACACCCUACGACCCCCUCCCAGCUUGCAAAAAACCAUCAUCUGUAACUUUCCAGUGCCCACCCCAAACCUAUAAAAACAACUCCUAUCCAAUCGCCCUCCACUGACACCCUUUUCAGCCUCAGCCCACCUGCACCCAGGUGAAUAAACAGCCCCGCUGCUCACGCAAAGCCUGUUUGGGAGUCUCUUCAUUCACAGCGCAGUUUUUAACAUUCGGUGCUGGAAACCCAGGACAAGGGUGCUCCUUUGCGGAGAUCAGCCUCCUGUCCCCCUUCCCCUCUGGGAAGAGACCCACCUGAGACCGCAACACAUCAGACCAGGCCAGCAGCUCCUGCUUAGCGUGCCGAAGAGCUCCUGCCACCUUCAGAUCAGAGAUGAAGAGACACCCUGUAUUCAUGUGGAGCUGGAGGAGACACAUCUCUCCCUCUUGCUCAAGAACUCCGACGUCGGUCACGGACUCAGGAAGACGAGACUCUUCCCGUGGUGUCUGGUCAAUCUCGGCAUGCCUGCCUUGAUCACUGUCCCACGUGCAGCCCAGGAACCAGUCAGGGACGCCUACUGAAACGCUGGUGGCUGCUCACUCCUUCUCCUAGUCUCCACUCUACUCCUUUCCUAAAACUACCUCAUCGCUAUGGGCAACACUCAGCCCUCUGUUCCUCAGUCCUCACCUCUAGCCUGCAUCCUAAACCCUAAAACUUCAGCUGUCGCCGGAUCUGAAACCUGAACAUCUCUGUAACACAGCCUGGCCUCAAUCCAAAUGGCCAGAAACUGGCACUUUCGAUUUCUCUAUUCUGCCAGACCUAGACAAUUUUUGUCAACAAAUGGGCAGAUAAAUGGUCUAAGGUGCCGGACGUCCAGGCGUCUUUUUAACACUAACCCUCCCUAAUCUCUGCUCCUUCUCCCCUUCCAUCGGCCCCUCCUGCCCCCAGCAGUAACCCAGAACCCUUGUCCAUCGAUCCUUCCGACCUUUCUCCUCCCCUCCUGUGCAAACCAGACCUCAAUCCAGGCUCAAACCCCCCAGAGCCUCCCUCCUCUUCCUCUGCCCGCACCCCACCACCCUGUGCCCCUCCUGUCACCUCCCACCUCAUACCCGGUCCGGCUUACAGUUUAGUCCCAUGGCUACCUCCUCCGCCCCUGCCCAACAGUUCCCCCUUCGAGAGGAGGCUGGAGCCGAAGGCAUAGUUGGGUGCAUGUUCCUUUCUCUUUAUCUGACCUUUCCCAAAUCGGCCAACGUUUAGGCUCCUUUUCAUCAGAUCCUCCAAGAAUUGACUCAGUCCUAUAAUCUCACCUCGAGUGACUUUAAUGCCAUCCUUACUCUCACCCCUGAAGAGCGCUUAUCACCCAAUCAGCCCCUGACAUUAAAACGCUCCAAACAUUUAAAUUUGGCCCUCAAAUCCCACAACAGGAACUAACUCGAUUUGCCAUUAAGGUGUUUAAUAACUGAGAAGAAGCUGCCAAACAGCAGCAUGUUUCAGAAUUACAGAUGCUGCCUCUGCUGUGAGACAAACCCCAGCCACACCACUGGCUCACAAAGACUUCAGAGCGCCCAGACUGCAGCGUCCAGCCUCCCCUCCUGAACCUUGCCUCAAGUGUGGGAAACCUGGCCGCUGGGCCAAGGAACACCCACAGCCAGGGACUCCUCCUUAGCCCUGCCCCAUCUGUCCGGGGCCCCGGCUGCUGCUCCCAGAGGUCCUGGAGCUCUAACCCAAAGCUCCCAGAUCAAAUCGGCUUGGCAGCUGAAGACCGACGCUGCCCAAACAUCUCCGAGGCCCAGCGGACCAUCACGGAUGCUUAGCUUUGGGUAACUCUUAUGAUGGAAGGUAAGUCCAUCCCCUUCUUAAUCAACACGGAGGCACCCACCCCACGCUGCCUUCUUUUCAAGGACCUGUCUCCUUGGCUUUCAUACCUGUUGUGGGAAUUGACGGCAAGACCUCCAGGCCUCUCAAAACUCCCCAAGUCUGGUGUCAAUUAGGCCAGCACUGCUUUCCACGUUCUUUCCUGAUCAUCCCCACUUGUCAGUUCCCCUGUGAGUCUGGGAUAUCUUAGCAAAAUUGUCUGCCUCCGUCACUGUUCCUGGGCUACAGCCACACCUCAUUGCUGCUCUCCUGCCUGAACCUGUACCUCCCUCAGUAGCUCCUUUUAUGUCCCCCUGCCUUAACCCUAGGGUCCAGUUGAGACCAAGGCCCUGUUGGAAAUCCCCAAAGCAAAGCCACCCAUGUGAGCUCUACCCACUUUGCUGGAUCCUAACCUCCUGGGUGCCUUUAUCUUCUUAAAAAGAUGACUUCUCCAUUUUCUCUCACAAGGUUCUUCCUACAGACCAAGCCACAGCCUUCCUCUGUAGGCUUGUAAGAUUUUUUGGGUGACGGUCUCAGAUCCCCUGUUCUUGGUGUCCUCCUGCCUUUAAGAAAGGAAAUCCUCAUGCGGGGUAUGUUGAGACCUGUCUCUCACCUUAUCCCUUAGUCUUCAAACCAGAAUGUGCUCCCUAGGACGAUAGAGCAAGCUAUGUGGGUCCCAGAGGCAGCGGGUCAUCUUGCCCUCUGCUCCCCAGAAAGCCCAAACUCACUGUUUAGCCCCUAUACCUAUCACUGAUGGUGUGUGGGAUCGGCUUUCCAUGCAUUAGAACUUCUAGGCCAACAUAGUAAAUGGGAGAAUAGGAUUCUAAACCCUCACUGACGGGGGAGCUUUUUGCUUUAAUCAGAAGUGGGGACAGCAGGAAACAUUAGAAAGCUUUUAUUCCAUCCUUGGCCCCAGGACAACUCUCUCCUUCUUUCAAGUUAAUGUGUCCAUGAGCACUUUUCAAGCAAUUUAUCCUUGUAGCACAAUUCUAUGGACGGGCUUAUGUUAAUUGGAAUCUGGCCUAAAAACAUCAGUGGCACCCCACUGUCACAUCUCACUGCUCUGGAUGUAGGACAUAUCGGUAGAGGAGCCACUGAAAUCCGAUAGUCCUCUUGCCCUCUUUGGUGGGUCUAGGGGGACAGAAAAAAAGGUGGUGAUUACGCACCUGUCUCUAAGACCCAGGGGAUGCUCUUGGUACUGUGGAUAAAGCUGAUCAGAGGUGCAGGCAUCCCUGUGCUUUAUAAUUCCAGAUGGGCGCCACCCUUCCAAAGGCCAAGUCUCCUCUAAAAUGCAUAUUGGAUAACUGGAAUCAAUUUAACCCCCAAACCCUAAAAAAGAAGCUGGCCACCUGAGGAAAGUGGAAAUUACAAUGCUACCUUAAAAUGGAAGGAAUCUUUUCUGUAAUAGGGAGGGUAAAUGGAAUAAAAUCCCAUACGUGCAAACUUUCUUUUCCCUGCAGGAUAACCCAUGAUUAGGCAAAUCUUGUAACCUCUGUCCCAUUGGUAGUGUCCCAGUAUUGCCCCAGUAUCUGGGAUCCCUCAUGUCUUCUUCCCCUCUUGAAGCUACCCCUCCAACUCCCACCUCCCAAAGGGACUUAAAAGGAAAGGAGCCUAUCAAGGAGGCACAAAUAGUCCGAGUGCCCAAAUUUUGCCCCCUACAGGCGGCAGGAAGGGAAUCUGGCCCAACCAAAGUACAGGUUCCCUUCUCCCUCCCAUAUCUGAAGCAAAUUAAGUUGAUCUAGGAAAGUUCUCAGAUAAUCCUGAUGGAGACCUGGUGGAGCUGGAGGGCGCGGGGGAGCAGGAUUAGAGUGGCCCCCAAGGCCCAGCUAGGCGGGCCCCUGGGGCACUUGCCACCACUGUGGCUGCACGGGUCGGGGGGAGGGAGAACUGGGAAUGAGUGGCUGAGCCAGAUGGCUGCCGGGCCUCAGCCCUGUUCGCAGGGCCACUGGACCCGGACCAGGCCACGACCCGAAAUGGUGGCCUGGGGCUGAAAUGUGCUGGGGGCUCCAUGGCAGCGGGGGGCGGAUGAGCUUGCUCCAUGGCCCAGGGAACCAGGUGAGCCUGGCCGGCGAGUGGAGACAGCAGUACAGACAGAACAGUGGCAACAGCAGGAGCCCGAGCACACCCCCCACCAUGAAAUAUCCUCAUCAUAAGACUGGGGUAAAAUUCAAAGGCUUUCUGAAAUAAAAGAACUGUACUGAUGUGCUCCCUGUAAGACAAUCUUUCUAAAAGUUGGACAAUGUAUGAUUGGUCACAUAAUGCAAUUGAUCAUGCUGGGUAUCAACAAAAUAUGUCGUUUGUAGAGUUCAUCAGUAAUAUUUUAACAGCAAACCACAGGACAAUGCAGAAGGAACUGUGGUGUCUGGUCGCUGCCAUGGACCAUGUCAAUUUUUCCAGCACAUUCACCAAUGAUAUCUAUGGACUAAUGGCUUGUGUUCCCAGCCCUUAUGUGAUUAUAACAGGGGAGGUCAAUGUAACUCCACAUGGAGGGGAAUUUUAUGUGUCUUGUAUAAAUUGUAAUCUUACUCCCUGUGUAUCUACUUAUAGUAAGGGACAAAGCCUGCUGGUGUUAAAGCAGCCUGUAUAUGUGAUCAUUCCUGUCAAUUUAACAGAAGAGUGGUGUGAGGACAGGGGUUUGGCAGUGUUGCAACACAUGGAAAAAAUGUUGUCUUGACGUAAAAGUGCAUUGGGAUUAUUGAUUUUUGGUGUUGUGACAUUGAUAGGAAUUGUUGUCGGUUCUAUGGUUGCUGCCAUUUCACUUUCUCAAACUAUUCAAAAAGCCUAUUCUGUAAAUCAAUUAACAUCAAAUGUUUCUCAGCUUAUGGCCACUCAGGAGGAUAUUGACUGGAGGCUAGAGGCCAGACUGGCAGCUCUUGAGGCAGCCACUAUGUCUACAGGAGAUGAGCUGGAGAUGAUAAGAUUAAGACAAGGCUCAGAUGUCACAGUAAUUAUGUUGCCAUCUGUGGGACCCCUGCAGUUUGGAAUUAUACAAAGUGGAAUUGGAAAACAGUUAAAAAGCAACUUCACGGAACUCAAGGCCGUUAUAAUUUAACCAGUGAUUUAAUUAAAUUACAUCGGGAACUUGAUGAAAUACAACAUGCACACCUUGAUAUAGAGGAUCCUGCAAAAAUAGAAAAGACACUGGGUCAAUUACAGGGAUUAAUCCUUUUGGAAUUCUGAGGCAUGCCUUCUGGAUGUUCAUGAUACUUGUUGCCUGUAUAAUUAUUCUGUUUUUGUUAUAUGCAGCAGUCUGCAUUUGUGAAAAUCUAGACAACAAAAUCCUGUAAACUAAACUACAUUUAAAAUUACAGACAGUAAAAUAGGUAUUAGAAUAAGAGGUGUUUGUACAGACAAGAGGCACACAGAAUCAGUCCUAGCAGAAGCCACAGACAAAAGCUGAAAUAAGAAAUGUGGGUGCAUAUACUUCUUAGUGGCAUAUGGUCUAAUAUUACUUGCAAGGCCAUUGUCCUCUAAAAAUAAUACUGACUGUGAUGCUGGACCCAAAGGGAUGGCUGGAUAGUCAAUGACGGGUAAGAUCCUCAGAGGAGGACAACCUAAGACAGGCACAGCCGCAGUAAAGCCAGCAAACACUGGGGAUGUGCCUAGCCGGCAAUCCCUCCUGAGGCUUUGAGCGUUGCCCCACAAUGCUGUAAAUCUAGCUUGCCUUCGUUGUGAAGGUGACACCUGCUAUUGAAUGCUGCUUGGACAUGGAAUUUUUGUGUGGUCUGCUCCAAUGUACUACACCCUACAUAUUAAGAGUAGCAAUGCUUAAUGUUAAUUUUUGUAAUGCUUGUACUUCAAAAAAACAGUAAAGGGGGAGGUGUGGGGAGCCAGACUAGCACACCCCCUCUGGGGGUGUCAGAAGCAAGGCUGCUGUGAACUUUGAACUUCACUGGAGGAUGUAUAUGUCUUGGAGUAGAACAGACAGGCUUAGAGAAAGAACCAGCUUUCACUGGCCGUGCUGCAAGAUCAUUUUUAGCUGAAGAAUGUUAACUGAAGUAUGAAGAUGAUAACCAAAGGCUGUUCUAAGUAACUGCACCCUCCCUCUGCUAUGUGCUUUGUGAACAAAUAAAGUACACUGAGAGAAGUCGGGGCUGGAGAGACUGACAUCCUCACUUUCCGGACCACCUGGCCCAGCUUUCUC